UACGGAGGGUCCAAGCGUUAUCCGGAAUCAUUGGGUUUAAAGGGUCCGUAGGCGGUUUAAUAAGUCAGUGGUGAAAGCCCAUCGCUCAACGAUGGAACGGCCAUUGAUACUGUUAAACUUGAAUUAUUAGGAAGUAACUAGAAUAUGUAGUGUAGCGGUGAAAUGCUUAGAGAUUACAUGGAAUACCAAUUGCGAAGGCAGGUUACUACUAAUAUAUUGACGCUGAUGGACGAAAGCGUGGGUAGCGAACAGG
rnacentral:rRNA from 1 species